rnacentral:rRNA from 1 species
UUUUACUCUUAGGGGAGGCAGCAGUGGGGAAUAUUGCACAAUGGGCGAAAGCCUGAUGCAGCAACGCCGCGUUGAGGGACGAAGGCCUUCGGUUUGUAAACCUCUUUUAGUAGGGAAGAAGCGAAAGUGACGGUACCUGCAGAAAAAGCACCGGCUAACUACGUGCCAGCAGCCGCGGUAAUACGUAGGGUGCAAGCGUUAUCCGGAAUUAUUGGGCGUAAAGAGCUCGUAGGCGGUUUGUCGCGUCUGCUGUGAAAACCCGAGGCUCAACCUCGGGCCUGCAGUGGGUACGGGCAGACUAGAGUGCGGUAGGGGAGAUUGGAAUUCCUGGUGUAGCGGUGGAAUGCGCAGAUAUCAGGAGGAACACCGAUGGCGAAGGCAGAUCUCUGGGCCGUAACUGACGCUGAGGAGCGAAAGCAUGGGGAGCGAACAGGAUUAGAUACCCUGGUAGUCCAUGCCGUAAACGUUGGGCGCUAGAUGUGGGGACCAUUCCACGGUUUCCGUGUCGCAGCUAACGCAUUAAGCGCCCCGCCUGGGGAGUACGGCCGCAAGGCUAAAACUCAAAGGAAUUGACGGGGGCCCGCACAAGCGGCGGAGCAUGCGGAUUAAUUCGAUGCAACGCGAAGAACCUUACCAAGGCUUGACAUAUACGAGAACGCUCUAGAAAUAGAGACCUCCUAGC